ACGACAUUGAUCAGAUACCAGUACUUUUCUCAACAUCUAAAACAAUGGAGAAGAUCAUGUCAACGAAGUUUGCCUUUGUUAUCUUCUUAGUUGCAUCCAUGAUGAGUAUUGAGGCAACAAGGUUAUUACCCGAAGAAGCUCUUGAAACUAUGUUGCAGGGUGAAUCUUUGCCGUAUGGUGAGGAAAAGUUCCAUUUUGGUCGUCGCUGCCCAAAUAGGUGUCAUGUGGAAUGUAAUCCCGAUCCUUUUAUUGUAAGAUGUGGUUGUGUAUGCAAACAUUAAUCUGAUCUUUUUUAAUCAAUUUCCACAAAUAAAAAUAUAUGUUUCUCUCUUAUAAUUAUAUCAAUAAACGACUCGGCCAGGUA